CGGAUCGGAGUCUGCAACCCGACUCCGUGAAGCUGGAUUCGCUAGUAAUCGCGCAUCAGCCAUGGCGCGGUGAAUACGUUCCCGGGCCUUGUACACACCGCCCGUCAAGCCAUGGGAGCCGGGAGCGCUUGAAGUGCGUCGCCGCGAGGCGCGCCCUAGAGCGAGACCGGUGACUGGGGCUAAGUCGUAACAAGGUAAC
rnacentral:rRNA from 1 species